AUUGAUUGAUGUUAAAGAUUGUGAUGAAGGGAGUUCUACAAGAAAUGACCAAAUUGAUUGUACUUAUAAAGAUGUUGACUUGAGUUCUUCUGGUUUGUUUAAGUUGGAGUUAAUUCUUUUGCAAAGAAAGAUUGAUUUGGAGAUUGUAUAAAUAAUUGUAAGGUAAAUCAAAGGUUAGCUCUAAUUAAUUCUAGACAUGUUAGAUUCUUGAGGAAUGGUGAAGCUUAUGUAA
rnacentral:lncRNA from 1 species